rnacentral:rRNA from 1 species
UGCGUAGGCGGAAGAUUAAGUCAGUGGUGAAAUCCUGCGGCUCAACCGUAGAACUGCCAUUGAUACUGAUGUUCUUGAAUGCAGUUGAGGUAGGCGGAAUGUGUAAUGUAGCGGUGAAAUGCUUAGAUAUUACACAGAACACCGAUUGCGAAGGCAGCUUGCUAAACUGUGAUUGACGCUGAUGCACGAAAGCGUGGGGAGCGAACAGGAUUAGAUACCCUGGUAGUCC